rnacentral:rRNA from 1 species
UAGGGAAUCUUCGGCAAUGGGGGGAACCCUGACCGAGCAACGCCGCGUGAGUGAAGAAGGUUUUCGGAUCGUAAAGCUCUGUUGUUACGGAAGAACGAGUGUGAGAAUGGAAAGUUCAUGCUGUGACGGUACUUAACCAGAACGGGACGGCUAACUACGUGCCAGCAGCCGCGGUAAUACGUAGGUCCCGAUCGUUGUCCGGAUUUAUUGGGCGUAAAGCGAGCGCAGGCGGUUAGAAAAGUCUGAAGUGAAAGGCAGUGGCUCAACCAUUGUAGGCUUUGGAAACUGUUUAACUUGAGUGCAGAAGGGGAGAGUGGAAUUCCAUGUGUAGCGGUGAAAUGCGUAGAUAUAUGGAGGAACACCGGUGGCGAAAGCGGCUCUCUGGUCAGUAACUGACGCUGAGGCUCGAAAGCGUGGGGAGCGAACAGG